GAUGAGAAGAUGCUGUUGCUAUGGUUUAGAAGAGGAAACGCAUUUUCUCAGAGAAGAUGGCGGACGCGGUGUUCACACCCAACCGAAGUUCAACUGAAGUCUCAUAACAACAUUGUACGAAACAUGCAAAUAAUGGACGUGAAGAUGAAAAGAUGAAAAGAUGAAACCAAAGUUCAUCUCAAAUGAAACUGUACGGCCGUACCAUCAUAUCUAUGGAUGUGAGUGUGACAUAGAUGGAUAUCACUCAGGAUGUACUAGGAAUUAAGGUACUAUAGUAGUUUUACUAUAUAUAUCUUUUUCUCCUAUUCCAAUUAUACUCCAAAUCGAAAUACAGUUUGGUGACCAAUUUCAAUUACUAUUUCCUGGGAAACACAAAAGCAUUUUCACAUGUAAGAGAGACUAGUCUCAGUCCACAACAAUUAUUCAAAUUGGUCACCAUAUUCCCAUUGUAUGCUUCAUAAAAUUACAAAAAUUAUGUGUUCAAAGAUUCAGUUUAUUAUUCAACAUUUGGUUUCCAUCUUCCUUUAAAGCUCACAUUGAUCAAUGAAAAUAAACAUUGUAAACUUCAACUGC